rnacentral:rRNA from 1 species
AUUGAACGCUGGCGGCAUGCCUUACACAUGCAAGUCGAACGGCAGCACGGGUGCUUGCACCUGGUGGCGAGUGGCGAACGGGUGAGUAAUACAUCGGAACAUGUCCUGUAGUGGGGGAUAGCCCGGCGAAAGCCGGAUUAAUACCGCAUACGAUCUACGGAUGAAAGCGGGGGACCUUCGGGCCUCGCGCUAUAGGGUUGGCCGAUGGCUGAUUAGCUCGUUGGUGGGGUAAAGGCCUACCAAGGCGACGUUCAGUAGCUGGUCUGAGAGGACGACCAGCCACACUGGGACUGAGACACGGCCCAGACUCCGACGGGAGGCAGAAGUGGGGAAUUUUGGAAAAUGGGCGAAAGCCUGAUCCAGCAAUGCCGCGUGUGUGAAGAAGGCCUUCGGGUUGUAAAGCACUUUUGUCCGGAAAGAAAGCCUUGGCUCUAAUACAGUCGGGGGAUGAGGGUACCGGAAGAAUAAGCACCGGCUAACUACGU